AGUAAUUUAAAGAGGGUAUUAAUUACCAUAAAUGUUACCGUUGUCACAUGGGGAUUUAGAAAAUUAAGUUCUCUCUCUUCCAUUCAUAGCUUCCUCGUUUCUUCACCUAUUCGAAAUUUGAAUCCUCAAAUCUAUCUCUUCCAUCCAUAGCACCCCAUUUAUUCGCCGACUCCCUCUCUCUGUGUGUCUGUUUUGAAUUUCUUCCUCUCAUUUUUUUCUAGUUUUGGGUCAUCGAAUGCCAAAAAAAAAAACACAGAAAGACGCUACUCUAGGUUUUCUCUGCCGUUUCUGGUUUUUAUGAUUUUUGAAAUUCUUCUGCUUCAUCGGUGACUGAUUUCAGAUAUAUUUAUUUAUCACUCGAAGAAAAGCUAAAGGGAAAGUAGGAGGGUUUUGAGGAUAGUGAAAAAUGGUUGGUACUGCUUCAUCGGAGAUUGAUUUCAGGGUUUUCUGUUUUCAGAUUCAAAGAAUCAAAAAGCGCCACAAAUUUACUUGGCACCAGCACUUCUCGAAUCUUUUCUUUUUGAAUUUCUCUUCCGCAGUACUAGUUUUGUUUGCUUAUUGAUUUCUGGGUUUUAAUGCUGUUAGAUUCUGGAUUUCCCUCCGUUAUAUAAUUGUAUUUUUUUUAUGGUUUAUGUGAUGGAGAAGCUAUAUUAGUAUUGGAUUGUAGUUUAGAUAUUCCUGCCAGUUUAAACAGCAUGGCUCUUUCAUUUCUCCAUCAUAGUAAAGUAGUGAGCUUGGUUUGUAAA